rnacentral:antisense_RNA from 1 species
GAACACAAAAUGGCGACACGUGGUUAGCAUUCGUCGCCAACGAGAAAUUGGGGUCGGCCCGAAAGCUCUAGAAUGCACCCCCCUUCUUCCCCGGGGCCUUCCACCUCCGCGAGUUUUAUGACUUAAAAAACCCCACAGGCUGGUCUGAAGAGGAAGACAAACAUAAAGAUGAAGUGCUUAAUUCAAGGUCACACAAUGUCGGGGAUGGACCUCCAGAUUUCCUUACUGACCUGCAUUAUCUUGUGGAUACCUGAGUGAAUUCCACACCACCCAUUUUAUAGAUGAAACCACUGAGACAUGGAGCAACUGACUGAGUAGUCACUGCCCCACCCCUGCCUGGAGCCUCACACAUGACUCGUCUCCUCUCAGUGACCACAGUACUUAUCCUGUAUUACAUGAAGGAAAUGAAAUAAAAAGACUGCAACCCCACUCCCAGCUACUCAGUGAGGUGGUAGCUAGGUGAGACGUGGUCUUGUAACACAGUGGUUAAGAAUGUGACUUUGGAGCCAGCCUGCUAGGGGCUGAAUUCUGACUCAGCCAUUUACUAACUGUGUGACCUUAGGUGGAGUCUCACUCUGUAGCCCAAGCUGGAGUGGUGUGAUCUCGACUCACUGCAACCUCCGCCUCCUGGGCUCAAGUGAUUCUCGUGCCUCAGCCUCCUGAGUAGCUGGGACUACAGGUCACAGAAUUUUCCAC